rnacentral:rRNA from 1 species
AUUGAACGCUGGCGGCAGGCCUAACACAUGCAAGUCGAGCGGAUGAAGGGAGCUCGCUCCUGGAUUCAGCGGCGGACGGGUGAGUAAUGCCUAGGAAUCUGCCUGGUAGUGGGGGAUAACGUCCGGAAACGGGCGCUAAUACCGCAUACGUCCUGAGGGAGAAAGUGGGGGAUCUUCGGACCUCACGCUAUCAGAUGAGCCUAGGUCGGAUUAGCUAGUUGGUGGGGUAAAGGCCUACCAAGGCGACGAUCCGUAACUGGUCUGAGAGGAUGAUCAGUCACACUGGAACUGAGACACGGUCCAGACUCCUACGGGAGGCAGCAGUGGGGAAUAUUGGACAAUGGGCGAAAGCCUGAUCCAGCCAUGCCGCGUGUGUGAAGAAGGUCUUCGGAUUGUAAAGCACUUUAAGUUGGGAGGAAGGGCAGUAUGUUAAUACCUUGCUGUUUUGACGUUACCAACAGAAUAAGCACCGGCUAACUUCGUG